rnacentral:rRNA from 1 species
AUUGAACGCUGGCGGCAGGCCUAACACAUGCAAGUCGAGCGGAUGAGUGGAGCUUGCUCCAUGAUUCAGCGGCGGACGGGUGAGUAAUGCCUAGGAAUCUGCCUGGUAGUGGGGGACAACGCUUCGAAAGGAACGCUAAUACCGCAUACGUCCUACGGGAGAAAGCAGGGGACCUUCGGGCCUUGCGCUAUCAGAUGAGCCUAGGUCGGAUUAGCUAGUAGGUGAGGUAAUGGCUCACCUAGGCGACGAUCCGUAACUGGUCUGAGAGGAUGAUCAGUCACACUGGAACUCAGACACGGUCCAGACUCCUACGGGAGGCAGCAGUGGGUAAUAUUGGACGAUGGGCGAAAGCCUGAUCCAGCCAUACCGCGUGUGUGAAGAAGGUCUUCGGAUUGUAAGGCACUUUAAGUUGGGAGGAAGGGCAGUAAGUUAAUACCUUGCUGUUUUGACGUUACCAACAGAAUAAGCACCGGCUAACUUCGUGCCAGCCGCCGCGGUAACAC